UCCCGCUUAGCUCAGUGGUAGAGCGCUUCACUAGUACCGGAGGUUGAAAUCUCGGGGUAUGAAGAGGUCAGUCGUUCGAGUCGGCUAGUGGGAA